rnacentral:rRNA from 1 species
CACGUAGGUAAUGUGCCUUUGGGUGGGGGAAUAACUUAGGGAAACUUAAGCUAAUACCGCAUAAUGCAGCGGGCUCGACAUCGAGACAGUUGUUAAAGAUUUAUCGCCUAAAGAGCAGCCUGCGGCAGAUUAGCUAGUUGGUAAGGUAAUGGCUUACCAAGGCUACGAUCUGUAACCGACCUGAGAGGGUGGUCGGUCACACUGACACUGGAAUAACGGGGUCAGACUCCUACGGGAGGCAGCAGUCGGGAAUUUUGGGCAAUGGGCGAAAGCCUGACCCAGCAACGCCGCGUGAAGGAU